GCGUUAGUAAAUCCGUUGGCUUUAUUGACCGUGAGGGUUCAAGUCCCUCUAC
rnacentral:tRNA from 1 species